UACGGGGGGGGCAAGCGUUGUUCGGAAUUACUGGGCGUAAAGGGCGCGUAGGCGGUUGGAUAAGUCAGCUGUGAAAACCACGGGCUUAACCGUCGUCGGCUGCAGUUGAGACUGUCUGGCUUGAGUGUGGGAGAGGAGAGUGGAAUUCCUGGUGUAGCGGUGAAAUGCGUAGAUAUCAGGAGGAACACCGGUGGCGAAGGCGGCUCUCUGGACCACAACUGACGCUGAGGCGCGAAAGCUAGGGGAGCAAACAGG
rnacentral:rRNA from 1 species